rnacentral:snRNA from 1 species
UAAUUCUGGUUUCUCUUCAGAUCCUGCGAAUCUUUCACCUUUUGCUAAAGAUUUCCAUGCAGAGAAACAAUUCUGAGUCUUAACCCUAUUUUUUGAGGCCUUACAUCUGCAGGGCU